UAGUCCGAGUAGAGCUCUUCACCAAAGUCACAAUCCAAUUGGACUCUUCAGCCAUCAGAUUUGAUCAAAUCUUCUAAUAUGUAUGACCCCAUAAGUUUGAUCCUAAGUCAGUAGCAUAAAAAUAACUUUCUAUACCAAUUAAUGUAACUAUCUAGUAAUGAUGACCUGACGAUCGGAUAGGUUGAAGUAUUGCAAAGCAACCUUCUGAACCCUACUGGCGUAUGAUUACCGUAUAAUUCAUCUC
rnacentral:lncRNA from 1 species